ensembl:lncRNA
ACCUGCUCCAUGGUUUCUAUAUCCCAGGUGUUAUCUACCUGCUCCAUGGUCUUCUAUAUCCCAGGUGUUAUCUACCUGCUCCAUGGUGUUCUAUAUCCCAGGUGUUAUCUACCUGCUCCAUGGUGUUCUAUAUCCCAGGUGUUUAUCUACCUGCUCCAUGGUGUUCUAUAUCCCAGGUGUUAUCUACCUGCUCCAUGGUGUUCUAUAUCCCAGGUGUUAUCUACCUGCUCCAUGGUGUUCUUAUAUCCCAUGUGUUAUCUACCUGCUCCAUGGUAACUGUCUUCUAUAUCCCAGGUGUUAUCUACUGUCUUCUAUAUCCCAGGUGUUAUCUACCUGCUCCAUGGUGUUCUAUAUCCCAGGUGUUAUCUACCUGCUCCAUGGUAACUGUCUUCUAUAUCCCAGGUGUUAUCUACUGUCUUCUAUAUCCCAGGUGUUAUCUACCUGCUCCAUGGUAACUGUCUUCUAUAUCCCAGGUGUUAUCUACUGUCUUCUAUAUCCCAGGUGUUAUCUACCUGCUCCAUGGUGUUCUAUAUCCCAGGUGUUAUCUACCUGCUCCAUGGUAACUGUCUUCUAUAUCCCAGGUGUUAUCUACUGUCUUCUAUAUCCCAGGUGUAUCUACCUGCUCCAUGGUGUUCUAUAUCCCAGGUGUUAUCUACCUGCUCCAUGGUGUUCUAUAUCCCAGGUGUUAUCUACCUGCUCCAUGGUAACUGUCUUCUAUAUCCCAGGUGUUAUCUACUGUCUUCUAUAUCCCAGGUGUUAUCUACCUGCUCCAUGGUGUUCUAUAUCCCAGGUGUUAUCUACCUGCUCCAUGGUGUUCUAUAUCCCAGGUGUUAUCUACCUGCUCCAUGGUGUUCUAUAUCCCAGGUGUUAUCUACCUGCCUCCAUGGUCUUCUAUAUAGUGUCUGUAUCUGUAGUGUCUGUAUCUGUAGUGUCUGUACCUGUAUCUGUAGUGUCUGUAUCUGUAGUAUCUGUAUCUGUAGUGUCUGUAGUGUCUGUAUCUGUAUCUGUAGUGUCUGUAGUGUCUGUAUCUGUAGUGUCUGUAUCUGUAGUGUCUGUAUCUGUAGUGUCUGUAUCUGUAGUAUCUGUAUCUGUAGUAUCUGUACCUGUAUCCGUAGUGUCUGUAUCUGUAGUGUCUGUACCUGUAUCUGUAGUGUCUGUACCUGUAUCUGUAGUGUCUGUACCUGUAGUGUCUGUAGUGUCUGUAUCUGUAGUAUCUGUAUCUGUAGUGUCUGUAGUGUCUGUAUCUGUAGUGUCUGUAUCUGUAGUGUCUGUAUCUGUAGUGUCUGUAUCUGUAGUAUCUGUAUCUGUAGUAUCUGUACCUGUAUCCGUAGUGUCUGUAUCUGUAGUGUCUGUACCUGUAUCUGUAGUGUCUGUACCUGUAUCUGUAGUGUCUGUGUCUGUAGUGUCUGUAUCUGUAGUGUCUGUAUCUGUAUCUGUAGUGUCUGUAUCUGUAGUGUCUGUAGUGUCUGUAUCUGUAUCUGUAGUAUCUGUACCUGUAGUGUCUGUAUCUGUAGUGUCUGUACCUGUAUCUGUAGUAUCUGUACCUGUAGUGUCUGUAUCCUGUAGUGUCUGUA